rnacentral:rRNA from 1 species
CCCUUAGAUGUUCUGGGCCGCACGCGCGCUACACUGACGAAUGCAACGAGCUUAUAACCUUGGCCGAAAGGUCUGGGUAAUCUCCAAAUUUCGUCGUGAUGGGGAUAGAUUAUUGCAAUUAUUAAUCUUCAACGAGGAAUGCCUAGUAAGCGCAAGUCAUCAGCUUGCGUUGAUUACGUCCCUGCCCUUUGUACACACCGCCCGUCGCUCCUACCGAUUGAAUGGUCCGGUGAAGCGUUCGGACCGUGGCCUUUGGACGGUUCGCCGUCUGUUGGCUGCGGGAAGUUCGUUAAACCUUNUNACUUAGNGGAAGGAGAANUCGUANCA